rnacentral:rRNA from 1 species
UACAGGGGGGGCAAGCGUUAAUCGGAAUUACUGGGCGUAAAGCGUGCGCAGGCGGUUUUGUAAGUCUGAUGUGAAAUCCCCGGGCUCAACCUGGGAAUUGCAUUGGAGACUGCAAGGCUAGAAUCUGGCAGAGGGGGGUAGAAUUCCACGUGUAGCAGUGAAAUGCGUAGAGAUGUGGAGGAACACCGAUGGCGAAGGCAGCCCCCUGGGUCAAGAUUGACGCUCAUGCACGAAAGCGUGGGGAGCAAAC